rnacentral:rRNA from 1 species
AACGAACGCUGGCGGCAGGCUUAACACAUGCAAGUCGAACGCAUCCUUCGGGGUGAGUGGCAGACGGGUGAGUAACGCGUGGGAACGUGCCCUUCAGUUCGGGAUAACCCAGGGAAACUUGGGCUAAUACCGGAUACGUGCGAGAGCAGAAAGAUUUAUCGCGGAAGGAUCGGCCCGCGUCUGAUUAGCUAGUUGGUGGGGUAAUGGCACACCAAGGCGACGAUCAGUAGCUGGGCUGAGAGGAUGAUCAGCCACAUUGGGACUGAGACACGGCCCAAACUCCUACGGGAGGCAGCAGUGGGGAAUAUUGGACAAUGGGCGCAAGCCUGAUCCAGCCAUGCCGCGUGAGUGAUGAAGGCCUUAUGGUUGUAAAGCUCUUUUACCAGGGAUGAUAAUGACAGUACCUGGAGAAUAAGCUCCGGCUAACUCCGUGCCAGCCGCCGCCGUAA